GAGGGUGUAGCUCAGCAGUGGAGGGCAUGCCUACCACGCACGAGGUCCUGGGCUCAAUCCCCAGUACCUCCC
rnacentral:tRNA from 1 species